UUGGGAGCCUAUAAAGUAGCAAAGGUGGCAGUUUUCAGGUCUCUGCACAAUAUCCUGAUGAAGUGGAAUUGUCAUCUCCAGAUGUCACUCAGAAUGAGCAAGGCUCAGCUAAUAAACGGCUGAGCAAAAGUGGACAUACCGUCUACUGCUUGAUUACUAAUCUAUGGGCUACCCGGCAGGCCUUAUUUAGACAGAACUGUAACCAUACAAAGAGUUAUUUUAUUUACCAAUAUUAAAAUUAGUCAUGCAGCUUACAAAUAGUCACCUUAAAUGUACCCUUACCUUCCUCUUUUGGAAAAGUUAAUUGUUAGAAAUCUGCCAGUUAAGAUAAAACUCAACUUUCAAAAAAGUACUUGUGAUGAGCGAGGGCUGAGGAAAGGCGUGGAAUAAAAUAGUUCGUGGCCAACUCCAGCCUGUGUGGAAGGCCUAGGAGGAUUACUCAUCUGAGUUGGAGAAAAAGAAAUUCCUUUUAUCUGUUAUUAUUCAGGAAUUUUUGUAGAAGCCUAGUCUGUAUGCCUUAGAAGUUUCAGAAACAAGCAAUCUUUUUUUCUUAAUUAACAAAAUACAGUCAUGUCACAACAAGGAUGUAUUCUCAUAAAUGUGCUGUUAGGCAGUUUCAUUGUGAACAUCAUGGAAUGUAGCUGCAUCAAUGAAAAUGCCUAUGACAUCACAAGGCAAUGUAAUCUUAUGGGACCACCAUGCCAUGCACAUACCAUUGUGUACCAAAACAUUUUGCACUUCACAACUAAAAUCACUGAAGCACAGAAGAUCUUUCAGUUUUAG
rnacentral:lncRNA from 1 species